rnacentral:lncRNA from 1 species
CACACGUCCUGGCCAUUGAUUCCUGCUCCCCUCCCCUGCCUUCCUGAAUCAGUCUUCCAGGCUUUGCUGGCACCGCACUGCUGUGCUGAUGCACAGCCAGGAUCUACACCUCCUUGAUGGACAGAUAUUUUUCCUUUUAUGUUGAUUCCAGGUACUUUGCAUUUUCUUUCUUGCUUAUAUCUACACUUUUUUUUUUUUUCCUAGAAGCCACUGUGUGAGAGGGAGUCAGUGUGAAACUAAGUAAGACUCUAGGCUUUGGACAUGCCUCUGAAUCUUCCAGCUAUGUGCCACCAGCUCUUACAAUGGGAACCGUUAAGCACUUGGCACACAUCUUCUUGUUCCACUCUCCUGACAACCGUGAGAAUAUAAAAUAGGAAACAAGCUGUACAUCUUUGAAAACAGACUGGGGGAACCAUGCUGUAAAAGAAAUCAGGCAACUCAAGCCCACUUGAUGAAUAACACCUACUUCAUGAGAAGGAGAAGCAGGACAAGGACCUGCUCUUGAAGAACAAACCAAAAAAGCAAGGCCAAAGGACCUUGAAACUGUUAAGAGGCACUCAUGCCCCAGCAGGACUGCGGCCCAGGCCAUGCUGGUUUCAGGUUCCUCCUCGCUACAGAGAUAAAUGGCUCACGGAAACAUUAUCCAAGUAGUUUCACAUCAAAGGCUACAUGGCCAGCUGAGUUUCCUUUUAAUCUAGCCAAUAACCAAGUGAGAAUUCGACAAUGUGCUUGCUUAGGAGAGGGCUUCACGCCGUUGCAGACGGG